rnacentral:pre_miRNA from 1 species
CUUUCACUACUGCGUAUCUCCGCCUACAGAAGCAUAGAUUUCCACAAGUUAAUUUUUAAGAGCCUGUGCAAAUCUGUCGCAUCUGUAAGCGGCGGUACUGCAAUCUUUUUGC